rnacentral:rRNA from 1 species
AGUGAACGCUGGCGGCGUGCUUAACACAUGCAAGUCGAACGAGAACGGAAUAUAGCUUGCUAUAUUUGUCAGCUAAGUGGCGCACGGGUGAGUAAUGUAUAGAUAACCUGCCCUUAAGAAAGGAAUAACAGUUGGAAACGACUGCUAAUGCCCUAUAUGCCUUUAAUACGUAAGUAUGCAAGGGAAACGCUUUAGUGCUUAAGGAUGGGUCUGUAUGGUAUCAGCUUGUUGGUGAGGUAAUGGCUCACCAAGGCUAUGACGCCUAACUGGUUUGAGAGGAUGAUCAGUCACACUGGAACUGAGACACGGUCCAGACUCCUACGGGAGGCAGCAGUGGGGAAUAUUGCACAAUGGACGAAAGUCUGAUGCAGCAACGCCGCGUGGAGGAUGACACAUUUCGGUGCGUAAACUCCUUUUAUAUAGGAAGAUAAUGACGGUACUGUAUGAAUAAGCACCGGCUAACUCCGUGCCAGCCGCCGCGGUAA